rnacentral:rRNA from 1 species
AGUGAACGCUGGCGGUAGGCCUAACACAUGCAAGUCGAACGGCAGCACAGUAAGAGCUUGCUCUUACGGGUGGCGAGUGGCGGACGGGUGAGGAAUACAUCGGAAUCUACUUUUUCGUGGGGGAUAACGUAGGGAAACUUACGCUAAUACCGCAUACGACCUACGGGUGAAAGCAGGGGAUCUUCGGACCUUGCGCGAUUGAAUGAGCCGAUGUCGUAUUAGCUAGUUGGCGGGGUAAAGGCCCACCAAGGCGACGAUCCGUAGCUGGUCUGAGAGGAUGAUCCGCCACACUGGAACUGAGACACGGUCCAGACUCCUACGGGAGGCAGCAGUCGGGAAUAUUGGACAAAGGGCGCAAGCCUGAUCCGGCCAUACCGCGUGGGUGAAGAAGGCCUUCGGGUUGUAAAGCCCUUUUGUUGGGAAAGAAAAGCAGCAGGUUAAUACCCCGCUGUUCUGACGGUACCCAAAGAAUAAGCACCGGCUAACUUCGUG